CACCGCCCGAAGGCCUCUCCCUUUCUCCUCUCCACCGACCGAAGGCUUCCGUCCCCAACCCCGCUACCGGUACAAGGAGGCAACGGCAGCCGCUACAUUCAAGUUCUAUUUUACUUGGUUCGAAAGCUCUUGCCCCCUGGAAAUUAUUCCGGUCCAGGGGCGUUCCCGGCCGGCCCUCAGGGGUGGGGCCGAAUGCAGAGGCCCUGGGGUAGGGGGCGCGGGGCGCGGCGGCGGGUGGGCAAGCGGGACGCCUGGCCGGUGCAGACGCGCGGGGACGAGAUGGGCGUGCCGGGUGCGAAAGCAGGAGCGGAGGCGGGGGUGCCCAAUUUCUCUCACUUGGUGCCCCCUCCCCUGGCUCCGAAGUAGGGCUGGGGACUCCAGGAGGGCCCUUGCGUUUGGCCUCCACCCCUCUCCCGCAUACCCCACCCUCCAGAGAGCUCUGGGCGCGGACCAGGGUGCACUUGGGGGACAGGUGGAGGCCGGGCCGCCGGGCUUGCGCCUCCACGCCCGCAGUACGGCGUGCGGCCAGAGCGGGUGUGCGGGGACCUCUCGGGACAGGUCAAGCCCCCUCGGGUGGGCUUCCACGCUUACCAACUAGCUCUCUCCCUCACCUGCUCGCACCACGCUUUGCCCUCCAGGCUCCCACCUGGGAACGCCCCGUCCCUUGGUCCUUCCUCUCCUAGCCAGGUGUCAGCUCUGGCCAGGCCCAGGUGCUCUGCUUCCCCUGUUCAGGUCCCCUGCCCCUUCGGCUGGGAGACUUGCAUAUCGGCCUGAAGACCUCCCUGCGGUUUUUCCCAGCUCCUGCAGGGCCCAGACUGCAGCGGCUGGAGGCGAAGGGACGGCAGGGCGCGUGGCGUGGUUAGUGUGCUGGCUCCGACCAGCGGGAACGCACUGCGCACCGUCCGCCCUGCCCACCGCCUCGGCGGGACGCGCUCGCGCACACGGACGCACAGAGGUCGACCAGGGUGUUCUCCAGCGAGGAGGCAACACAGCCGCGGGAGCACCGAGGGCGAGGACCGACUUCUUCUGGGGAUCCUCGAGGGCGAGCUGGGAGAGGGAGGAGGCCCGGAGGAGGGAGAGGGGUUGCUGGGGGUGGGAAGGCGAAGGGCCUGUGAGGAACACUACGGGGACGAAGGGCCGGGGGGUGGGGGCCUGGGCGGAGCUGGAGGCCGAACUGAGCGGAGCUUGGAAGGCUGGGGAAUUAGAGGCGGGGCCUAGAAGAAGUCGGGGUGGGGCCCUGGCGGGGCUCGGGGGCGGCCCUGGGUGGGCCGGGCGGGGCCUGAGUGGGCAGGGCAGGGUUCGGGCCAGCGCCUGGGCUAGGCCUGGUGGGCCCGGCGCCUCACAUGAUGUCGUCCAGCAGGUUGGCGCUGGCCACCCAGUCGAGCGCGCGCGGCUCGGAGGCGGCCAUGAUCAUGCACAUGAAGGGGCGGCCGG
rnacentral:lncRNA from 10 species